rnacentral:rRNA from 1 species
GACGAACGCUGGCGGCGUGCCUAAUACAUGCAAGUCGAACGCAGUGGGGACGGGUGAGUAACACGUGGGUAACCUCCCAUCAGAGGGGAUAACACUUGGAAACCGGUGCUAAACCGAUACUGAUGGAUGGACCCGCGGUGCAUUAGCUAGUUGGUGAGGUAACGGCUCACCAAGGCCACUAUGAAUAGGCGACCUAAGAGGAAGAUGGGCCAGACAGGGACUGGUACACGGCCCAGACUCCUUCGGGAGGCAGCAGUGGGGAAUCUUAGACAGUAGACGAAAGUCAAACCGAGCAACGCCGCGUGGGUGAAGAAGGUUUUCGGAGCGGAAGACUCUGUUGUUAGAGAAGCGGUAUCUAACCAGAAGGCCACGGCUAACGACGUGCCAGCAGCCGCGGUAAUAC